rnacentral:misc_RNA from 1 species
CCGAGUUAGGGUCGCCCCCGCGCGCCCGACCUCCAACCCUUUGUCUACCCGACCUUAUUGUUGCUUCGGCAGGCCCGCCGCCCCUCGUGGGCGGCCGCCGGGGGCUUCACAGCCCCGGGCCCGCGCCUGUCGACGGCCCCAACCACAAACUCUUGUACUUAAACGUGUCGUCUGAGUUAACAAACAAAAUAAAUUA